GAUGAACGCUGGCGGCGUGCUUAACACAUGCAAGUCGAACGAUGAAGCCGGAGCUUGCUCUGGUGGAUUAGUGGCGAACGGGUGAGUAACACGUGAGUAACCUGCCCUUGACUCUGGGAUAAGCGCUGGAAACGGCGUCUAAUACCGGAUACGAGCUUCCACCGCAUGGUGAGUUGCUGGAAAGAAUUUCGGUCAAGGAUGGACUCGCGGCCUAUCAGCUUGUUGGUGAGGUAACGGCUCACCAAGGCGACGACGGGUAGCCGGCCUGAGAGGGUGACCGGCCACACUGGGACUGAGACACGGCCCAGACUCCUACGGGAGGCAGCAGUGGGGAAUAUUGCACAAUGGGCGCAAGCCUGAUGCAGCAACGCCGCGUGAGGGACGAAGGCCUUCGGGUCGUAAACCUCUUUUAGCAGGGAAGAAGCGAAAGUGACGGUACCUGCAGAAAAAGCACCGGCUAACUACGUGCCAGCCGCCGCGGUAA
rnacentral:rRNA from 1 species